CGGGAUGUGGCGCAGUUGGUAGCGCACUAGCAUGGGGUGUUAGGGGUCGCUGGUUCGAGUCCAGUCAUCCCGA
rnacentral:tRNA from 1 species